UGGGGAAUAUUGCACAAUGGGCGAAAGCCUGAUGCAGCAACGCCGCGUGAGUGAUGAAGGUCUUCGGAUUGUAAAGCUCUGUCUUUUGGGACGAUAAUGACGGUACCAAAGGAGGAAGCCACGGCUAACUACGUGCCAGCAGCCGCGGUAAUACGUAGGUGGCGAGCGUUGUCCGGAUUUACUGGGCGUAAANGGGUGCGUAGGCGGAUGUUUAAGUGAGAUGUGAAAUACCCGGGCUUAACUUGGGUGCUACAUUUCAAACUGGAUAUCUAGAGUGCAGGAGAGGAGAAUGGAAUUCCUAGUGUAGCGGUGAAAUGCGUAGAGAUUAGGAAGAACACCAGUGGCGAAGGCGAUUCUCUGGACUGUAACUGACGCUGAGGCACGAAAGCGUGGGUAGCAAACAGGAUUAGAUACCCUGGUAGUCCACGCCGUAAACGAUGAGUACUAGGUGUAGGAGGUAUCGACCCCUUCUGUGCCGCAGUAAACACAUUAAGU
rnacentral:rRNA from 1 species